GUUUACUUGUGUGUGGAUGGUGUUCAGCACCAGGGACAGGUGUGUUUACCUGUGUGUGGACGGUGUUCAGGGACAGGUGUGCUUACUU
rfam:Branchiostoma floridae genomic scaffold BRAFLscaffold_215, whole genome shotgun sequence.